UACGGGGGGGGCAAGCGUUGUUCGGAAUUACUGGGCGUAAAGGGCUCGUAGGCGGCCAACUAAGUCAGACGUGAAAUCCCUCGGCUUAACCGGGGAACUGCGUCUGAUACUGGAUGGCUAGAGGUUGGGAGAGGGAUGGGGAAUUCCAGGUGUAGCGGUGAAAUGCGUAGAUAUCUGGAGGAACACCGGUGGCGAAGGCGGCAUCCUGGACCAAUUCUGACGCUGAGGAGCGAAAGCCAGGGGAGCAAACGGG
rnacentral:rRNA from 1 species